GAUGAACGCUGGCGGCGUGCUUAACACAUGCAAGUCGAACGAUUAACCCUUCUUCGGAAGGUCAUAAAGUGGCGAACGGGUGAGUAACACGUGACCAACCUGCCUCUCACAUUGGGAUAACUUAGAGAAAUCUAAGCUAAUACCAAAUACUCUUGAUCUUUCGCAUGACGGAUCAAGGAAAGCUUUCGCGGUGAGAGAUGGGGUCGCGGCCCAUUAGGUAGUUGGUGGGGUAGAGGCCUACCAAGCCGAUGAUGGGUAGCCGGGUUGAGAGACCGCCCGGCCACAUUGGGACUGAGAUACGGCCCAGACUCCUACGGGAGGCAGCAGUGGGGAAUUUUGCGCAAUGGGCGAAAGCCUGACGCAGCAACGCCGCGUGCGGGAUGACGGCCUUCGGGUUGUAAACCGCUUUCAGUGGGAAAGAUAAUGACGGUACCCACACAAGAAGCUCCGGCUAAAUACGUGCCAGCCGCCGCUGUAAGAC
rnacentral:rRNA from 1 species